rnacentral:rRNA from 1 species
UACGUAGGUGGCAAGCGUUGUCCGGAUUUACUGGGCGUAAAGGGCGUGCAGGCGGUUUGUUAAGUCUAGGGUGAAAGCUCCCGGCUCAACUGGGAGAGGUCCUUGGAUACUGGCAGACUUGAGGAGGGUAGAGGAGAGUGGAAUUCCCGGUGUAGCGGUGGAAUGCGUAGAGAUCGGGAAGAACAUCAGUGGCGAAGGCGGCCUGCUGGGCUGUUGCUGACGGCUGAGGCGCGACAGCG